CGAAUUGAAACACCGGUUCUCAUCCGAUCACCGAAGUUAAGCAACGUCGAACCUGGUCAGUACCUAGAUGAGUGACCGUUUGGGGAUACCAAGUGCUGUAAG